UGCUAUUGGCACUCAACAAUACAUACAUUAAAAUAUGAAUACCUAAAAGUUUAAAUUAAAAUUAUAACAGUGGUUAUCACUCAUUCAUUACUGAAACCCUACUGCUGAAGAUGGACGACUUGAAGUUGGUUUGACUACAGUAUGAGAAUGAGACAUCUGACAUAGGAGAGGAGACAAGUCAAUUGGUCUCAGCAACCCAGGAAGCAGCAUAUUUUUUUUCUCAAGCUGAAGAAACGAUCUGCUCGCUUGCACUUUUCCAUGGCUGACGGUUUCUAUGGCAACAAAAGGUGAGGAAGAGGAGGCUGGGGCAUGACAGAGCACUGUUAAGCAGACAACACAUUCGCGCCUGGGAUCCU